CACCAAAGUGUUGAGUUCAGUUCUGGGUUCCUUCCCCAGUCCUGGUAAUAAAUCUUUGGUACAUCAGAUGGCUGAAGAUGAGAUGACGAGGUUGCAUUUGUGUAAUGCUGCUCUCACGUCUUCACCGACAUCU